GCCUAUGUAGCUCAGUCGGAAGAGCACACCCUUGGUAGGGGUGAGGUCGCCAGUUCGAUUCUGGCCGUAGGCUCCA
rnacentral:tRNA from 1 species